AUGUACUUUGGCGAGCCCCUUAUUCGUAGAAUAGCAGAUUUUGACAUUAUUAAUUGGUGGAAAGUUGGAGGUGCCAAGUGCCCUACUUUGCAGAAGAUUGCUCAUGAUAUAUUACCCACCCCUGUUACAUCUGUGGCAUCGGAGUCGGUCUUUAGUACUAGUGGGAGGUUACUUAGUGCAUAUCGCAGUCGGCUUACACCAACCAUAGCUGAAGCUCUUAUGUGUAUGCAAGCUUGGUCACGAGCGGACAUGUUAGGUGAUAUCAACUUCGCUUUGCAAGCGGUUCAAUCUGUUCUUGAGGAUGAAGAAGUGAUGGAUGAAAAUGAGCCCACCAUUACUGAAGACUAA
rnacentral:rRNA from 1 species